rnacentral:rRNA from 1 species
CGCUGGGUAGCUAAGUAGGGCAGGAAUAAACGCUGAAAGCAUCUAAGCGUGAAGUCCCCCUCAAGAUGAGAUUUCCCCUUUCUAAAAGAAAGUAAGAUCCCUGAGAGAAGAUCAGGUAGAUAGGUUCGAAGUGGAAGACCCGCGAGGGUUGGAGCGGACGAAUACUAAUCGAUCGAGGACUUAACCACAA